GAGUAUUGUAUUUAUUUGCAUUCAUUGUAUCUAUUUAAGGAGAUUGUGUGCUGAAUUUUUUGUACUCUAUUUUUUUAAAAUUGUAUUUGAAUUUUUGAGUUUUGGGAGGUUCCAAAACUUGUUUGAAUUGAUCUGAACACUAAAUCGGAUUAUUGAGGGUUGGCUUGUAUUUAAAAAAUAAGUAUUCUUACUUGGAUAGCAAGGGUCAGAGUG
rnacentral:lncRNA from 1 species